UUUCCGUAGGUGAACCUGCGGAAGGAUCAUUAAAGAAUUUGCCCCGUCCUCUCGAGGAUGGGUCCUCUCCUAAACCGUGUAUACAUACCUUUGUUGCUUUGGCGGGCCGCCGUCUCGGCGUUGGCUUCGGCUGACUGUGCCCGCCAGAGAACCCCAACUCUUCUGUUUAGUAUUGUCUGAGUACUAUAUAAUAGUUAAAACUUUCAACAACGGAUCUCUUGGUUCUG
rnacentral:misc_RNA from 1 species